GAUGAACGCUGGCGGCGUGCCUAAUACAUGCAAGUCGAGCGAACAGACGAGGAGCUUGCUCCUCUGACGUUAGCGGCGGACGGGUGAGUAACACGUGGAUAACCUACCUAUAAGAUUGGGAUAACUUCGGGAAACCGGAGCUAAUACCGGAUAAUAUAUUGAACCGCAUGGUUCAAUAGUGAAAGACGGUUUUGCUGUCACUUAUAGAUGGAUCCGCGCCGCAUUAGCUAGUUGGUAAGGUAACGGCUUACCAAGGCAACGAUGCGUAGCCGACCUGAGAGGGUGAUCGGCCACACUGGAACUGAGACACGGUCCAGACUCCUACGGGAGGCAGCAGUAGGGAAUCUUCCGCAAUGGGCGAAAGCUUGACGGAGCAACGCCGCGUGAGUGAUGAAGGUCUUCGGAUCGUAAAACUCUGUUAUUAGGGAAGAACAAAUGUGUAAGUAACUAUGCACGUCUUGACGGUACCUAAUCAGAAAGCCACGGCUAACUACGU
rnacentral:rRNA from 1 species